GUAAGACACACGUGUGUGGAUAAUCAAAGCCAUCAUCGGAGCUCUACAGCGUGUCCCCAGUAAGUCUGCUGUCAACACGCAGACAUGGGGGGCGUCAGCACAGCCCUUGACCUCUGCGAGGUCACAAUCCAGGGUGGCUGCAAGACCAACAGUAGCACCCCCCACCCCCGACCAAUGAAGUCCAGAGGAGCAGAGAAAGUGCUGGCAGACACAGAGGAUGGAGCAACUCACUUAUUUUAGAAGAACCAAAGAAGGCUUCACAGAGGUGACUUCUGGGGGUGUUCUUAAGUGAGGGGUAGAAUUUCUAUGACCAGAGCAGCCAGGUGGAGGGAAAAGCAGAAGCAUAGCUACGGAAUCAGAAGAGUCUGUGCUGUGGCCAAAGCAUGGGGUGGGAGGUGCGGAGGCAGGAAGUCCCUGAACACACCAAGAGUCAGAACUCAGGGAGGCAGCGGAGAGAGGACCCACAACUCCACCUGGGCCUUAGGGCAGCUCUGACGAUGCUGUAAGGCCAGACUGUAGAGACUAACAAUAUAGGCAUCACCUGGAAGACUUGAAUGACCCAGGGAAGAUGCAGAGGCUUGAGGACCAAGCCAGAGGGGACGGAAACACAGAGACUCGGGUUUCCAGACCGGACCGGGCGCAUGGUGAGGGCACAGGCCUGCAAUAGACAGCACAGGAGUGGAGUGGGUUUGGAAGGCCAAUGUUGAAUGUGGUUGUGGAGAAGCCAAGUCGAGGCUCCUAACAAUGCAGUCCUGUAGAAAUGCAUAACAGUUAACUAACCAGCGAUGAAUAGCUAGUUUUAAAACUAAAAGGCAAAGAGAUUGCAAGGGAACUAGGGCCCUGUACAAGGACCCCUGCCGUGCUCUGGGGCUGUGGGAGUAAUUGGGUCAGGGCAACAGUUCUCAGACUUUGGGGUGCAUCAGAAUCACAGGGCGGUGUGGGAGGCCACUGACAAUCCAGGUACCUCGGCCUCACCCCCACUGAUUUUGUGUCAGCACCUACAGAAGUAACACCGAUUCCAGCUCCCCAGUUACAACAUACUACAAAUCAAGGAGUCCUUUAAACUUUUUAACUUCUUUCUCACUAAUUAACUAGAAAUACCCUCCCCUGUUUACCUUUUAGCUGAAUAAUCUCUUUAACUGAUUAACUGAAGUUAAUUCUCACUGGCCAGCAAAAAGUUCGGUGAAAUUAGCCUCGGGAGAAACUAAGAUGGCAAAGGCUAUUUUGUGGGAGGUAAGAGAAGAGGGAGAAACAGAGACAAGAGACAGUAGGGGGGAAUGGCUAAGAAUGGUCCGUCUGGGCAUUGUUGGUGAAACGGCUUAGUGGUUGUGGAGUCACUAGAGCCACACGUUGUAUGUGAAGUCAUCAAAGCGGACAUCAGGGAGCCCUGGAGUUGGUCCCUCAUCCCCAGGAAAGGAGGACACCGGCUUUCCACCAGCCUCAGCAGGUCCACCCUCAGACAAGGCUCCCCAUAGGCUCCUCCUCAGGCUGUCCUGCUGUGAACAUUGACCCCACAAUCUGCACAACCUGUGUAGAAUCACUUCCAAGUUGACCAAGACUUGCUAAAUUAUCUCAUGAAGGACAACAAAGGCACAACUUAAAAAUGGAAGAAGGUGAAUAUAAAGUAAACCCAAAACUCCUACUUUUUUGUCCCUUCUCACACUGCUAUAAAGAACAACCUGAGACUGGGUAAUUUAGAAAGAAAAGAGGUUUAAUUGGCUCACAGGUCCACAGGCUGUACAGGAGGCGUGGCUGGGGAGGCCUUAGGAAACUUACAAUCCUGGUGACAGGCAAAGGAGAAGCAGGCACGUCUUCACAUGGCAGCAGGAGGGAGCGAGAGAAGGGGGGAGUGCUACAUGCUUUUAAAAUACCAGAUCUCAUGAGAACUCACUGUCACAAGAACAGCAAGGGGGAUAUCUCCCACCAUGAUCCUAUCACCUCCCACCAGGCCCCUCCCCCAACAGUGGGAAUUACAAUUUCACAUGAUUUGGGUGGAGACAGAGAGCCAAACCAUGUCACCUACCUAUCAUUAAAAAGUAAUGUCCCAACCCAAACAAGCUUGGAGUCAAGGGCCAGCUCCUACCAAACUUCAAAUAUUGGUGUUUAAUAAUACGUGUCAUUUAGGAACAAUGACAAAAGAUGAACACAUGCAUCUUAAAAGCUGACUAGCAAAAGGCCAAAGAAGGAAAUGGGGAAGAAAAAGGAUAUAUUUUCCUUUUAUCAGAAACCUAGAUUAGGCCUAAACUCAACUGGACCGACUAUGAUCACCUCCUCACCUGCACAGGUGAAGCCACCAACCAUCCUAGGUUGUCUGGGACUCUUCUAGUUUUAGCAGUAAAAUUCCCACAUCCUGGGCAACUUGGGACAGAUGGUCACUGUGGGUCCAGGUCAUGGACUAUGAGAAUAUGAGAAUAUGAGUUUGGGUUUGGAAGACUUCCAGCUGACUCCUGGACUGCCACUUACUAGAUGUGGGCCACUUAAUUUCUCUGAGUUUCAUUCAGUUCCUGCACUCUAAAAACGAGGUUUGAAAGGCUGUCUUCAUAGGAUUGUUUGCAAGGAUUAAACCGUAAGGGAACAUAAAACACAGAAUCGGUGGUACACAGCAAGCUCUCAAUCCAUGUGAGAUGGGAAACAUUUAUCUGCAACCGUAGCCAGCAUAGUUGGGGCAGGAUUACCCAGAGACGAUGGCGAGCAUCAGGUGAAGCAGAUGGAGAUGUGGGCAGUUGUUGCUUCCUUACAGAGCUGGUCCCUGUCAUUUGCACAUUUGUCCCCAGCCCUGGGUCCUGGCAAGAAGCCUGGACAAGGAAGCUCUCUAUGGGUGCUCGAGAGCCACUGGCAGACGCAUGUGCAGUCAGGCAAGAAAGCCACACGCCCAGGCCGCAGCGGCCCUGCCAGUAAGCACUGAGCACCCAGGCAGAUGGGAGAACCAAGCUGCAAGCCUUUCCUAGUCUCCCUAUGAUGAAUGAAUGACUGUCCUCGUGGGACCACUUCGCAGCAGAGCUAGCAAGAGCCGCGGCACGGAUCCUGCCUACACACCUGUGCUCCCGAGCCCUGCAGAGCUUUGGGUCUUCUCACUAGCGGAGUGAGGAUGAGGGUGUGCUGACCACAGCAAGGUUGUGUGCGUGCCUCCAUGGAGGUGCGCAGAGCAGAAACGCUGCCCCUCGCACUGCCAUGGUGGUAAGGAGAGGAAAUAAAAC
rnacentral:lncRNA from 1 species